rnacentral:rRNA from 1 species
UACGGAGGGUGCGAGCGUUGUCCGGAAUUCACUGGGCGUAAAGGGCGCGUAGGCGGCCUGAUAAGUAGGGGGGUGAAAUCCUGAAGGCUUUAACCUCAGGGCUGCCUUCUAAACUGUCGGGCUCGAGCACAGUAGAGGCAGGUGGGAAUUCCCGGUGUAGCGGUGGAAUGCGUAGAGAUCGGGAAAGAACAUCAGUGGCGAAGGCGGCCUGACUGGGCCUGGUUGCUG